rnacentral:rRNA from 1 species
GGCUAAUACCAGAUAAGACCACGAGGGCUGCGGCCUUUGGGGUAAAAGAUGGCCUCUACUUGUACGGCUAUCACUCCGGAUGGGCCUGCGCGCCAUUAGCUAGUUGGUGGGGUAACGGCUCACCAAGGCUGAGAUGGCUAGCUGGUCUGAGAGGAUGGCCAGCCACACUGGGACUGAGACACGGCCCAGACUCCUACGGGAGGCAGCAGUGGGGAAUAUUGCGCAAUGGGCGAAAGCCUGACGCAGCGACGCCGCGUGGGUGAUGAAGGCCUUCGGGUCGUAAAGCCCUGUCAAGAGGGACGAAACCUCGCCGACCUAAUACGUCGGCGACCUGACGGUACCUCUGAAGGAAGCACCGGCUAACUCCGUGCCAGCAGCCGCGGUAA